rnacentral:tRNA from 2 species
GCACCCGUAGCUCAGCUGGAUAGAGCGCUGCCCUCCGAAGGCGAAGGUCACAGGUUCGAAUCCUGUCGGGUGCG